rnacentral:rRNA from 1 species
UACAGAGGUCCCAAGCGUUGUUCGGAUUCACUGGGCGUAAAGGGUGCGUAGGCGGUCGGGUAAGUCUGACGUGAAAUCUUCAAGCUCAACUUGGAAACUGCGUCCGAUACUAUUCGGCUAGAGGAAUGGAGGGGAGACUGGAAUACUUGGUGUAGCAGUGAAAUGCGCAGAUAUCAGGAGGAACACCGGUGGCGAAGGCGGGUCUCUGGGCCGAUACUGACGCUGAGGAGCGAAAGCGUGGGGAGCGAACAGG